GACGAACGCUGGCGGCGUGCUUAACACAUGCAAGUCGAACGGAAAGGCCUGCUUUCCCUUGUGGAUUGCGGGUACUCGAGUGGCGAACGGGUGAGUAACACGUGAGCGAUCUGCCCCCAACUUGGGUAUAAGCCUGGGAAACUGGGUCUAAUUCCCGAUAGGACUGCAGGGUGGUGCCUGUGGUGGAAAACGAUUUUCUAGUGGUUGGGGAUGAGCUCGCGGCCUAUCAGCUUGUUGGUGGGGUAAUGGCCUACCAAGGCGGCGACGGGUAGCCGGCCUGGGAGGGUGGACGGCCACAUUGGGACUGAGACACGGCCCAGACUCCUACGGGAGGCAGCAGUGGGGAAUAUGGCACAAGGGGCGGAAGCCUGAUGCAGCGACGCCGCGUGGGGGAUGACGGCCUUCGGGUUGUAAACUCCUUUCGACCGCGAGGAAGCCACCUGGUUGGAAGGGUGGUGACGGUAGUGGUAGAAGAAGCACCGGCUAACUACGUG
rnacentral:rRNA from 1 species